GGGCGUUUAGCGCAGUGGUAGCGCGUAUGCUUUGCAUUCGGAAAUGCAUUACGGGAUAUUCCGUAAAACCUGUAUAAAGUCCAGGGUUCAAUCCCCUGAACGUCCA
rnacentral:tRNA from 1 species